GACGAACGCUGGCGGCAUGCCUAACACAUGCAAGUCGAGCGAGUUGAUCCCUUCGGGGUGAAGCUAGCGGCGGACGGGUGAGUAACACGUGGGCAACCUGCCUCAUAGAGGGGAAUAGCCUUCCGAAAGGAAGAUUAAUACCGCAUAAGAUUGUAGCUUCGCAUGAAGCAGCAAUUAAAGGAGUAAUCCGCUAUGAGAUGGGCCCGCGGCGCAUUAGCUAGUUGGUGAGGUAACGGCUCACCAAGGCGACGAUGCGUAGCCGACCUGAGAGGGUGAUCGGCCACAGUGGGACUGACACACGGCCCAGACUCCUACGGGAGGCAGCAGUGGGGAAUAUUGCACAAUGGGGGAAACCCUGAUGCAGCAAUGCCGCGUGAGUGAUGACGGCCUUCGGGUUGUAAAGCUCUGUCUUCGGGGACGAUAAUGACGGUACCCGAGGAGGAAGCCACGGCUAACUACGUGCCAGCAGCCGCAGUAA
rnacentral:rRNA from 1 species